rnacentral:rRNA from 1 species
CCUACGGGAGGCAGCAGUGAGGAAUAUUGGUCAAUGGCCGGAAGGCUGAACCAGCCAUGCCGCGUGAAGGUCAGUGCCCUAUGGGCGUUAAACUUCUUUUGUGCGGGAGCAAUAAUGGUCACGUGUGGCCAGACGAGAGUACCGUACGAAUAAGCAUCGGCUAACUCCGUGCCAGCAGCCGCGGUAAUACGGGGGAUGCAAGCGUUAUCCGGAUUUAUUGGGUUUAAAGGGUGCGUAGGCUGUGAGGUAAGUCAGCGGUGAAAUGCCCCCGCUCAACGGGGUGAAGUGCCAUUGAUACUGCCUGGCUGGAAUGCGGAUGCCGUGGGAGGAAUGUGUGGUGUAGCGGUGAAAUGCAUAGAUAUCACACAGAACACCGAUUGCGAAGGCAUCUCACGAAUCCGCGAUUGACGCUGAUGCACGAAAGCGUGGGUAUCAAACAGGAUGAGAUACCCUUGUAGUC